rnacentral:rRNA from 1 species
GAUGAACGCUGGCGGCGUGCCCAAUACAUGCAAGUCGAGCGAACAGACGAGGAGCUUGCUCCUCUGACGUUAGCGGCGGACGGGUGAGUAACACGUGGAUAACCUACCUAUAAGACUGGGAUAACUUCGGGAAACCGGAGCUAAUACCGGAUAAUAUAUUGAACCGCAUGGUUCAAUAGUGAAAGACGGUUUUGCUGUCACUUAUAGAUGGAUCCGCGCCACAUUAGCUAGUUGGUAAGGUAACGGCUUACCAAGGCAACGAUGCGUAGCCGACCUGAGAGGGUGAUCGGCCACACUGGAACUGAGACACGGUCCAGACUCCUACGGGAGGCAGCAGUAGGGAAUCUUCCGCAAUGGGCGAAAGCCUGACGGAGCAACGCCGCGUGAGUGAUGAAGGUCUUCGGAUCGUAAAACUCUGUUAUUAGGGAAGAACAAAUGUGUAAGUAACUAUGCACGUCUUGACGGUACCUAAUCAGAAAGCCACGGCUAACUACGUG